CCUUUCUCGAUACUCGUCACGUUUUUCUUUUUUCUUCAGGUUCUUCUCAAAUCUCUCUCUCUCUUUGCGAUCGAUAUGGCAAAUGGAUCCGAAACGCGUGUUACUUGUCAAGAUAUUCAGCUGGUGCAAAAUCUCAUAGAACGAUGCCUACAACUGUAUAUGAGCCCGAAAGAAGUGAUGAGCACACUAAUAAAUGAAGCAAAAAUAGAGCCUGAGUUCAUUGAACUAGUUUGGAAAAGGCUUAAAGAACAAAAUGUAGAGUUCUUUCAAGCUUAUUAUACAAGAUUGGUGUUGAAGCAGCAAAUUGAACAAUUCAACACAUUGCUGGAUAAACAAAAGCAAUUAAUGGAAUCAGAACUAACUAAAGUUGCAUCACCACCUACCUCUAAUGGAUUACAUUAUCAUGCAACAUCGUCACUACCCAAUUGCAAUGGAUCACGUAUCCCUGCUAUAACUGAGAAUCGAGCAUGGUAUGGCGCUGUGCAACAUCAUGUGCAAUCCAAUUUAUCUAAUGUGUUUAAUAACGGCGGGUCAUCAUUUGGUUCAAGUAUGCUUGCGGUGGUUGAUAUGUUUGCUAAUAGACAUCUUAUGAGCAUGCCCUAUACUUGGAACUCAAACAUGGGUCUGCAACAAGGAAUCAAUGGGGGGAUGACCAAAUCGGAACCUGAAUAUUCAAGUUGUUCUUCCAACAUGUUUGGUGCUAAUGGAAAUGCCCUGCAGGCCAGCUCAACUGUUAGUAAUGCUUCAGCUACGAUGUUGACUAAUGCUAAAUCCAACUUACAUUCUGUGAAUGACAUAGUCAUGGAUCUUCCAAACAUUUCUUCAAAUGGAUUUUUGGGACAUAUGUCUAAUGGAAAUGUCUUGGAGGCUAGCCCAACUGUCAGUGAAACUUCAACUACGCUAUUCAGUAAUGCCGAAUGUAACUCCCAUUCUGUGAAUGAGGCACUCCUGGAUCUUCCAGACACUCCUUCAAAUGGAAUUUCAGGACAGAUGUCAAGAAAAUUUAGUUUUCCGGAUGUGGCUGCUCUUCUUCCUCAAUGGUCUGAUAUACUGGAGGGCUAUACUGGGCCAGCCUUCCUAGAUUUUGAUAACAAUAACAAGGUAAGAAACUAUUUGAUUCCCCCAUAAAAUUUUGCAGUAAACUAUUUGAUUCCCACUAUUCCGACUCUACUACUGUAUCGUUCUUACAGUAAACAAUUACAUGUUGGACUCCUCCAUAUCUGAAGGCUUGCGUUAUGAAAACUUAAUGGAGAGUUGGUACUAUUUGAUCAUCAGUAACUUAGGAUGAACAAAGUGCCUAGAAAAGUGUUGUAAAUAAAAACCAUAACUCAGAUGAACACAUGUUUUGCUACUUUGAAAGUUCGCUCACCUCCUACAGUGACAAGAAAUGCAAUUUAGAACUCUUCCGAAGAAUGGUGCAGAUAAUUAGGGAAUAUUUUUUUCUCACAUUUUUGGCAAUUUGGUACUUUGCUUUGUAGGAUGAUUUUAUUCUCCAUCGUAUUGAUUUAUUGGAGCUUUUUUUUUUGUAACAGUAUUGAUUUAAUUUGAUUUUCAUGACAGACAGCUUAAAAUCUAGUUUUUAGUAUUAGUGGAUAGCAGUAUAAUUGUUUGACUCCCUAGAGUCCAAGGAAACAUUUUCUUAUGCCAAUUUUAUUGCAAAUA